rnacentral:rRNA from 1 species
UAAUACGGAGGGUGCAAGCGUUGUCCGGAUUUAUUGGGUUUAAAGGGUGCGUAGGUGGCCUUAUAAGUCCGUGGUGAAAGCCUGCUGCUCAACAGCAGAACUGCCAUGGAUACUGUAGGGCUUGAGUCCAGACGAGGUUGGCGGAAUGGAAGAUGUAGCGGUGAAAUGCAUAGAUAUCUUCCAGAACCCCGAUUGCGUAGGCAGCUGACUAGGCUGGUACUGACACUGAGGCACGAAAGCGUGGGGAGCGAACAGGAUUAGAUACCCUGGUAGUCCACGCCGUAAACGAUGGAUACUCGUUGCAGGCGAUACACUGUCUGUGACUUAGCGAAAGCGUUAAGUAUCCCACCUGGGGAGUACGCUCGCAAGAGUG